rnacentral:rRNA from 1 species
UGUGAAAGCCCGGGGCUCAACCUCGGAAUUGCAUUUGAAACUGGCAGACUAGAGUACUGUAGAGGGGGGUAGAAUUUCAGGUGUAGCGGUGAAAUGCGUAGAGAUCUGAAGGAAUACCGGUGGCGAAGGCGGCCCCCUGGACAGAUACUGACACUCAGAUGCGAAAGCGUGGGGAGCAAACAGGAUUAGAUACCCUGGUAGUCCACGCCGUAAACGAUGUCUACUUGGAGGUUGUGGCCUUGAGCCGUGGCUUUCGGAGCUAACGCGUUAAGUAGACCGCCUGGGGAGUACGGUCGCAAGAUUAAA